GGAUGGUAACAGACGUUUGGCUGGCCGGAUUGGAUGCUUUCUCUGCAUUCAGGUACUCUGCAUAGCUGCUGUAUAACCAACUCAUCGAAGCAAACAAGCAAAGAGCAUAUCCUGAUCUCAUUCCUUGACACGGAGGAUCCAUUGACAAAACGAGAUAAAAAUCUCUCUCGGUUCCUGGUGGUUUAGGAUGUUGACUUGGCAGAACGAGGAUACUAUAUCAAAUAGAGAACUCUCCGUUCACUUGGACUUCCCCUCCCACUGAACUCGGAGACUACAUGUCCCUCAUCGGGCGAUGCUAGUGGAGCAAAUGCCUGGUUGAUCGCUUCGGUGGCGAACUCUAUAAACACAAACGCGG
rnacentral:sRNA from 2 species